AGUGGCGCACGGGUGAGUAACGCGUGGGAAUCUACCCCUAAGUACGGGAUAACAUCUGGAAACGGAUGCUAAUACCGUAUAACACCUCCGAGUCAAAGCGUUAGCGCUUGGGGAUGAGCCCGCGUCUGAUUAGGUUGUUGGUGGGGUAAUGGCCUACCAAGCCGACGAUCAGUAGCUGGUUUGAGAGGAUGAUCAGCCACACUGGUACUGAGACACGGACCAGACUCCUACGGGAGGCAGCAGUCAGGAAUCUUGGACAAUGGGGGCAACCCUGAUCCAGCCAUGCCGCGUGGGUGAAGAAGGCCUUCGGGUUGUAAAACCCUUUCAGGUGGGAAGAU
rnacentral:rRNA from 1 species